rnacentral:rRNA from 1 species
UGGGGAAUUUUGGACAAUGGGCGAAAGCCUGAUCCAGCAAUGCCGCGUGUGUGAAGAAGGCCUUCGGGUUGUAAAGCACUUUUGUCCGGAAAGAAAUCCUUGGCUCUAAUACAGUCGGGGGAUGACGGUACCGGAGGAAUAAGCACCGGCUAACUACGUGCCAGCAGCCGCGGUAAUACGUAGGGUGCAAGCGUUAAUCGGAAUUGCUGGGCGUAAAGCGUGCGCAGGCGGUUUGCUAAGACCGAUGUGAAAUCCCCGGGCUCAACCUGGGGAACUGCAUUGGUGACUGGCAGGCUAGAGUAUGGCAGAGGGGGGUAGAAUUCCACGUGUAGCAGUGAAAUGCGUAGAGAUGUGGAGGAAUACCGAUGGCGAAGGCAGCCCCCUGGGCCAAUACUGACGCUCAUGCACGAAAAGCGUGGGGGAGCAAACAGGAUUAGAUACCCUGGUAGUCCACGCCCUAAANGAUGUCAACUAGUUGUUGGGGAUUCAUUUCCUUAGUAACGUAGCUAACGCGUGAAGUUGACCGCCUGGGGAGUACGGUCGCAAGAUUAAAACUCAAAGAAUUGACGGGGUCAU